rnacentral:tRNA from 1 species
UGGGAAAUCGUCUAACGGCAGGACAGCAGGCUCUGAACUUGCUUAUCUAGGUUCGAAUCCUAGUUUCCCAG